rnacentral:lncRNA from 1 species
AUGCAGUGCCUAAGCAUAAACAACAGCAUAAACAGUAAGAAUGAAAUGUCCACACUUCUUAUAAGGAAUAUAGUUCCAAAUUACUUCACUGUUCAGUAUUUUGUAAAGAAUGUCAGAAAGAAUAAUAAAACUUAAUGUUGAAGAAGCAUGAAGAAAAGCAAGUACCAAAGAAGAUUUUACAGAUGUAGGCACAGCGAUGUACUAAGUGAAGACAAAUCACUUGUUUUCUGAAGACCUCAACUGAAAUAGUGAUGAAGUAAAAAAGAGAAUGGAGACUCCUGCAUUUCUUACCAUCUUUAUCAUUAUCUAAUCAAUAACAAGUUUUUUUCUCUUUGCAGCUUCUACCAGGUUAUAUUUUCUGUCUUUUCUUUGAAAGUCUUUAUAUACACUGAAAGUUAUAAACGCAAUACAAACUCAUCAAAAAGGACAUGUAAAAACAACCUGUCUCUUGUCCUUCUGCUUCUUCCUUGUUCUUCCUAAAUGCAAAUGUGUAACCCCCUCAUAUAAAAAAUAAA